GUAGCAAUUAAUCUGGUGCAAGUUUUCGCUUCAACUACGCAACCAAAAUGAAAUUAUUGUAUCUUCUUGCGAUAUUUUUGAUGAUAUUUAUAAUUAAUAUUUUCUGUUACGAUUCAGAAGAGGAGGAUCUUUGUUCUCAGCCAGAACAACUGUCGAAGUUUUGGAAAUGCUCUUUAAGAAAUUUGCCUAAUUAUUAUAAAAAUCUUUACAUAAAAUUGGCUGAUUGUAUCACCAUCGAAGAAGGAGUUUUUGGAAGAAAUGAAGCUCUUGCAUAUCAUAUGUGUCAUGCUUUGUCUGAAAAUAUUACAAACUGCUUGGGAACUGAAUACUCGAAACCACAUC
rnacentral:lncRNA from 1 species